GGGUCCUUGGUGUAGUGGUUAAUGUUGUUGGCUGUGGUUCUGUAACGAAACUUAUUGGACUUGAGUUCGAACCUCGGAGUGGCCA